CACCCAUUCAUCAAAGAACUGCCCCCUAAGAAGAUCAUCAGAGCUGAGAUUGAAGAACAUCUCCGGGCUCUGCAGAACCGGCCGGCCAAGAAAGGAUUGAAGGGAAAAGCUAUGAAACAGCUGCGUCGCGCUUGUGACUUCUACGCACGCAACACAGCAGAGGAACAAAAAGUGGCUCUGCAAAUGGCCCUGGAGGGCUUUCCCUGUAACUGAUCUUGUGGCCAGUAACAGCAACAGCCCAGAAUGAAUCUCCUGUGUAAAAUCCUAGGUGAAAGAAACAUCCACAGAGAAAGGUGAAGCAGCUCAACCAGUGGUGACUUUGAGAUUAGUGCAGCUCCACCAGCAGUGUCUGCUCCUCCCCCUGAAGCGCCAGGACCAU